UGGAAGCACCUGGUAAAGACCUCCACAGUCAGUGAGCAUUGCAUUCGUUCUUUUUUUCACGAUCUUCUUACUUUAAUAUCUGCCACAUUCAACAGAUUUUCACCUAUCUGCCAUCAUAUUUGCACCCCCAACGCCCAGGACCCUUGUAAGUGCAAAUACAUAAUGUUCCUAUUAAGGCUGUUAAUUACUUAUGCUGUGCUUUUGCCAGCUUCAUUGGAAGACAUGGCCAGCUAGCUAGCUAGCAAGCUUACUUGAGCUAGCGCUAAUGUUAGACACUCUUCGAUUGAUUGCAAAUAUAGCAACAUUUUGGUGAGAUGGGCAUCUUUUACAGCUAAUUUCACAGUCAGAUUAUAUAUUUUGUGUUUGAAUCUGUAGUUAUGUCAUGAGUUAUGUCAUGUUAUUCACUUGGUUUUAAGUGAUGCAAUCUGGAAUCCAACAUUCCCAGAGCUAACGUUAGCUAGCCAACUGUCAAUUUGCCCAUGGUGUCAGUCUGAGAUGCAAGUACAGUCCCUAACUAAUAUAAUACUAGUAUCUAAUAUACUAAUACCAGAACCAGUAUCUGGGCAGAGGAGACGAUGAAUAUGACGAGUUCAUCGUCUCCUCUGCCCAGAUACUGGUUCAACUAAUACCUAGCUACCAUAUAACUAUGUUGUUUAGCUAACUAGUUAACGUUAUGUCUAUGUGAAGUUAACGUGUUUAACUUCUGUUUCUGGCAAGCUAUUGGCUACUUGGCCAACUCGUUUUUUUGUGCCUUAUUUUAGCAGCUAACUUUAAUUAAUUAGUGCAAAUGUAGGGUAAUUAGACAAAUUGUUGAACUUGUGAACAUAAUCGUUGAGGGAUGUGCACUUCACAGUACAAUGUCAAUGCCACCAUCAGCUGUCAGAUGACAAGUGUCAUUUUUUCUUUUUUCCCCUCGAUGAGCCACUAUUAAACAUGAAUGGUCAGAGUCGCUCCCCUCCUCAAGAAACCAACACUCGACCCCUCUGACAUCAAACUACAGACCGAUCUAUCCGCUGCCUUCGACACCGUGAACCAUCAGAUCCUCCUCUCCACCUUCUCAAGGCUGGGCGUCUCAUAUUGGCAGGUCGCACCUACAAGGUGGCAACACAAAUCUCUACGUGCCUGGCAGACAUCUCAGUUUGGAUGUCGGCCCACCACCUCAAGCUCAACCUCAACAAGACGGAGCUGCUCUUCCUCCCGGGAAGGUCUUCCCGCUCCAAGACCUCUCCAUCACGGUUGACAACUCCACGGUGUCCCCCUCCCAGUGUGCCAAGAUCCUUGGCGUGACCCUAGAAAACACCUGAUCAUUCUCUGCAAACAUCAAAGUAGUGACUCGCUCCUGUAGGUUCAUGCUACAACAUUCAUAGAGUAUGAACUUUCCUCACACAGGAAGCAUUGCAGGUCCUUAUCCAGACACUUGUCAUCUACUGUCUGGACUACUGCAACUCUUUGUUGGCUGGGCUCCCCGCUUGUGCCAUCAAACCCUUGCAACUUAUCCAGAAUGCCGCAGCACGCCUGCUAUUCAACAUUCCCAAGUUGUCCCAUCUCACCCCACUCCUCCGCCCACUCCACUGGCUUCCAGUCGAAGCAUGGAUCCACUUCAAGACCUGGUGCUUGCCUACGGAGCAGCAAGGGGAACUGCCCCUCCCUACAUUCAGCUCAAACCCUACACCCCAUCCCGAGCACUCAUUCUGCCACCUCAGGUCUCUUGGCCCUCCCACCCCCAGCUAUAGUGGAAAUGAAUCCAGAUUAUUGUCACUGUAACAAACAGGGCUCUAAAUCUCAGUGUUUUAGGGCAAUCCCCAAUAACAACACAAAACUUGGUUGACUGAAAGUCGUCUGUUCUUUUGACCAAUCGAUUGGUCAAACAUUUUAAACGUGUAUUUUUCCAAAUAUAGACACACCCUAUGUGUUUUCAUAAAAUCAAGUAUAUGCAUUGAGUUUACGGUUUGAUGAAAUAAGACUAAUGCCUCGAGGGCGCCAGAGAUCUAGAUAACCAGGAGAGAAAAAAAUCUAGCCUGACCCAACUAUUCUCCUGGCUUUUGCAGAUUCUGCCAUUACAUUACUGAAGUUGCCGGUAAUUGGCUACACGAGGAGUCGUCAACCUUUCUCAUGUGAAAUGCAAAUUUAUUUGACCAUUUCUACCGAUCGACAUGCCAGUUAUGGUUUUCAUAUGCACAUUUUCGUGAAACAAUUUAAUUUAUAAUUAAGUCUUCAUAUCUCAAAAUAAUUGUCAUGUGGUUAUUCAAAAUUAUAUCCAAAUGAAAAUGAUAAACCUAAAAAGUAACUUCUAUUGCCAACUAUGUCAAAGUAGUCUACAUAAAGCCAACAAAUAAAAACAUUGCAACCUGCAUGUAGAAAAUAACCUGAUAAAAAAUAAAUAUCCUGUAAAUCACAUUGGCUACACAUGGGCUGUUUGCAACAAACUUUAAACAUUGUAUCAACUAUUAACUUUGGGUCCAGCCCAAAGCUUGGCUAUUUGCACAAGGGAUAAGAAGCCAUGCUUGACUUGGGCAAGAGCUCACCGGAGCUGUGUACUGGCACCUCAAAUGUUCUACUGCUUGAGCUCCUGUUCCUCUUAUAGAAUAUUAGCUCCAAAAUAUUGUGGCGCUCCUGCACCUAAAUAUAAACAGUACCA